rnacentral:tmRNA from 1 species
GGGGAUGACGGGCUUCGACGGAUAUCGCUCUUCAAAAAUUGCAAGCCGAGGAGGCACACUCGUGAACUGUGUCAAAAUCUAUAACUGCCAACAGAAAUGUUGCGUUAGCAUACGCCUAAUAGGCGAAUGCCAUCGGCGCGCCAAUGCCCUUGCGGCGCAUCACCGGUGUUAUACACAGGGACCGUGUUGCUGAGACGUUCUGGUAGGCAACAUUAAACACAAGAGCAAAUCGUCCUAGAUUUUCUAGAACUAUGCUUGUAGACGUUUUCGAAGAAAAUAUUCGGAUGUGAGUUCAACUCUCACCAUCUCCACAA